AGCACCUUAAAGCGUUUUCUUGUCGGCCAAAUUAUAAAAUGCUCUGGAAAAUCGUACAAAGUGUGCAAAACUAAAGUAAAAAACAGUUGCAAGUGAUUCCAAUAAACACAUUGUUGGAAUCCAUUACGCUGAUUACACGC
rnacentral:snoRNA from 13 species